UCCGGUUUGUCACCGGCAGUCUCCUUAGAGUGCCCAACCUAAUGCUGGCAACUAAGGACAAGGGUUGCGCUCGUUGCGGGACUUAACCCAACAUCUCACGACACGAGCUGACGACAGCCAUGCAGCACCUGUAUCCAGAUUCCCGAAGGCACUUCCUCAUCUCUGAGGAAUUCCUGGUAUGUCAAGAGUAGGUAAGGUUCUUCGCGUUGCAUCGAAUUAAACCACAUGCUCCACCGCUUGUGCGGGCCCCCGUCAAUUCAUUUGAGUUUUAACCUUGCGGCCGUACUCCCCAGGCGGUCUACUUAGCGCGUUAGCUUCGCUACGCACAAAUUAAAUUCGCACACAGCUAGUAGACAGCGUUUACGGUGUGGACUAC
rnacentral:misc_RNA from 1 species